rnacentral:rRNA from 1 species
CCUACGGGUGGCAGCAGUGAGGAAUAUUGGUCAAUGGACGAGAGUCUGAACCAGCCAAGUAGCGUGAAGGAUGACUGCCCUAUGGGUUGUAAACUUCUUUUAUAUGGGAAUAAAACGUUCCACGUGUGGGAUUUUGUAUGUACCAUAUGAAUAAGGAUCGGCUAACUCCGUGCCAGCAGCCGCGGUAAUACGGAGGAUCCGAGCGUUAUCCGGAUUUAUUGGGUUUAAAGGGAGCGUAGGUGGAUUGUUAAGUCAGUUGUGAAAGUUUGCGGCUCAACCGUAAAAUUGCAGUUGAAACUGGCAGUCUUGAGUACAGUAGAGGUGGGCGGAAUUCGUGGUAUAGCGGUGAAAUGCUUAGAUAUCACGAAGAACUCCGAUUGCGAAGGCAGUUCACUGGACUGCAACUGACACUGAGGCUCGAAAGUGUGGGUAUCAAACAGGAUUAGAUACCCUUGUAGUC